rnacentral:rRNA from 1 species
UAGUCUGCAACUCGACUACAUGAAGCUGGAAUCGCUAGUAAUCGCAGAUCAGAAUGCUGCGGUGAAUACGUUCCCGGGUCUUGUACACACCGCCCGUCACACCAUGGGAGUCGGAAAUGCCCGAAGCCGGUGACCAAACCAAUAAGGAAGGAGCCGUCGAAGGCAGGUCUGAUAAUUGGGUGAAGUCGUAACAAGGUACC